rnacentral:rRNA from 1 species
CAUAGCCUAAAGUAAAUAACGUUUUAGGUAAUUUCUGCUCAGUGCUUAUUUUAGUAAACAGCUGCGAGAAAUCGUACAAAGGUAGCAUAAUAAAUUGUCCAUUAAUUGUGGUCUAGUAUCAACGAAAAAACAUAUAUUGAUUGUCUUCUUUUUAAAGAUUAGAAAUUUGUUUUAUAGUCAAAAAACUAUAAUAAUAAUAUAAGACGAGAAGACCCUAUUGAGUUUUAAUUUAACUAAAAGAAUAUUUAAUCUCUUAGUGAGUUUUAGUUGGGGUAACUGAAGGGUAAAUAAACCCCCUUCUUAUUUCUCAAAAAAUUAUAAUUUAUUAAUUAGACCCAAUUUUUAAUAUUGAUAAUAAGAAAAAAUUACCAUAGGGAUAACAGCUUAAUUUUUUUUAAUAGUACAUAUUGACAAAAAAGUUUGUGACCUCGAUGUUGGAUUGGGUUUUCCUUUUAAAGCAAAAAUUAAAUAAGGUUAGAUUGUUCAUCUAUUAAAAACCUAC